rnacentral:lncRNA from 1 species
GGUCACUCUGGGCCCGCCCCCACCCCCACCGUGCAGACUCAUUUCGACCUUUCCCCUACUUUUCCGGCUGGGCUGGGGGCGGUUCCUCCCAGUCUGGAGCGUCUGAGCCUCCAGACGUGCUCAACGCCAUCCUCCCCUCCUCCCUCCCUCUUUCUUUCCUCAACCCUGCCUCCUCUCCCUCUAGGAGCUGGGACCCCAGGCAGAGCCUCUGAGAUGCU